AGAGUUUGAUCCUGGCUCAGGAUGAACUCUGGCGGCGUGCUUAACACAUGCAAGUCGAACGAAGCACUUCGGACAGAUUCUUCGGAUGAAGUCCUUAGUGACUGAGUGGCGGACGGGUGAGUAACGCGUGGGUAACCUGCCUCAUACAGGGGGAUAACAGUUAGAAAUGGCUGCUAAUACCGCAUAAGCGCACGGUACCGCAUGGUACAGUGUGAAAAACUCCGGUGGUAUGAGAUGGACCCGCGUUGGAUUAGCUAGUUGGCAGGGUAACGGCCUACCAAGGCGACGAUCCAUAGCCGGCCUGAGAGGGUGGACGGCCACAUUGGGACUGAGACACGGCCCAGACUCCUACGGGAGGCAGCAGUGGGGAAUAUUGCACAAUGGGGGAAACCCUGAUGCAGCGACGCCGCGUGAGUGAAGAAGUAUUUCGGUAUGUAAAGCUCUAUCAGCAGGGAAGAAAAUGACGGUACCUGACUAAGAAGCCCCGGCUAACUACGUGCCAGCAGCCGCGGUAAUACGUAGGGGGCAAGCGUUAUCCGGAUUUACUGGGUGUAAAGGGAGCGUAGACGGAAUGGCAAGUCUGAUGUGAAAGGCCGGGGCUCAACCCCGGGACUGCAUUGGAAACUGUCAAUCUAGAGUACCGGAGGGGUAAGCGGAAUUCCUAGUGUAGCGGUGAAAUGCGUAGAUAUUAGGAGGAACACCAGUGGCGAAGGCGGCUUACUGGACGGUAACUGACGUUGAGGCUCGAAAGCGUGGGGAGCAAACAAGGAUUAGAUACCCUGGUAGUCCACGCCGUAAACGAUGA
rnacentral:rRNA from 1 species